UAGGUGUCCUAGAGGUGUAGAAGCCUCUAAGGGUAGGUCUGUUCGCCCUUUAAAAUCUAACAUGAGCUGAGUUCAGAACGGCGUGAGCUAGUUCAGUUUCUAUCCUCUUUUAAAAAUAAGCUAAUUUUGUACGAAAGGACUUUUUCGCUAAAGUAAUGCUUUGGCCCAGCCCUAUAAUUACACAAAUAUUAAUACAUGACGAGCUGAUCAACUCAUAAAAAGGGCUG
rnacentral:rRNA from 1 species